ACCCUGUAGGCGGCACAAUGUAGACCACAGGCAUAUGUGAGUUUGGCUUCUUCUCUUAGUGGCAAAUAGAUAAAGAGGUUAUUCUUUGGCGUCGGGGAUGGGGCUUAUAAGGUGGUUCUAUGACCACUUAACCAACGUGGAAAGGAACACAAAGUACUUUUGAUUAGAAAGACUGAAAAUUACAAAUUGGCUGAAUGGCAGGUGGUUGAUAGAGACACGGGCCUCAUUACACAAUUCUUUCUGUUUUUACAUUUGACAUUUUCCAUAACAAAAUAUUAAGGAAAAAGGGGUCCCUAGGCUUCGAUUUGUCUUGGCCUGUUUUCUACUUCCAGAACUGGCCAGACUGCCUCUGCUGUCACGGCUCUUGACCACCUGCAAGAAAUUCCAGAGACCACCGUUGUCGGUCACCACAGCAAAGAUUCUGGAGCCCUGUGCGGGCAAAGAAGAGGCAAGGCCCUCCUGAUGAAACGUGGCCUUUUAUGAGAAUACUCCUCUCUGAUAUCUGGAAAUGCGCUAGAGAAGCAGGGGGUUUUCUCAUUUCUUAUUUUCCCAGCCACCCAAAACCAAAAUAGGUUCAGAGGGGAUUUGCAGCUUCAAGUCAGAAAACUCUGCCUUGAAUUUCAGUGUUACCAAAAAA